GACUUCAAAUUACUAAAUUUAGAACAACGCAGCGGACAUAUGCGGUAAGAGUGUUCUUGGAUGAAGUUGAGGAGCUUGAGGCUGCUGCACAGUGGUUACCGGCAAGCUCAAAGUGUGAAAGACCAGAAAAAAUACAGAUUCUCCCAAUCCAAUCUGAUGGACUCUGUAUGAGCAACGUUGGUGGAGAUGUAACUUAAAUGACUUGCAGCAAGCUGCAGCAA